UCUAUCAACAUAAUGUUUCAAAAUUGAUCUUUCUUCAGUGUAGGAAUGUGGCUCCAUCUUGGUCCAAUUCCCACACAUGGAGUUUUGAAAGUUUGUAAUCGGGAAGCUGGAGAUAAAGGAAAAAACAACAACAACAACAAAAACGUGUACAGAUCAUACCCUUGCUAAGAGCUGGAUCUACUGUGAGAAAAGUUGAAGAGAGAUGGGUAUGAAGUCCAUCAUGGCCCUGAAAUAUCCUCCCUGUUAUUGUUAAUGGCUUCUUGAUGAUCAGAGACAACACAAGUCAGAGGGACGAAGAUGUGGCUAAUGUCUCAGCAAAAUGACUUCUAGUCUUUCCAGUCUUGUUCAGGGAAGCUAAGAGGUGGACAGAGAGAGGUCAAAGAACGGAGAACAAAAGAUUGUGUACUCAUCCUUAAACCAUUCAUCUUUCUCAACCACUGCCCCCUUCCAUUACCAAGCCUCUGGAAACAUCCUAAAACAGGAACAGAGAUAAGCCAGGACCAGAUGAUCAAGAGGAGUGUUAUGAAAGGGAGCUCUUUUCAAAACUGGCCAGCAUCAAAUCAUGAAACGAAGCAACCAGAAUGCAAGAUCCUGUCUUUCUAUCACACAACUAGCAUUCUGAAUGCAAGAGCCACCAACUCUUCCCCUCCUUCCAGACGACAAUCUUUUGAGGAGCAAGUGGUGAGCAACAGAAGGGGUCAUGUACUUUCAU